AACGAACGCUGGCGGCAGGCUUAGCACAUGCAAGUCGAGCGCCCCGCAAGGGGAGCGGCAGACGGGUGAGUAACGCGUGGGAACGUACCCUUUGCUACGGAAUAGCUCCGGGAAACUGGAAUUAAUACCGUAUGUGCCCUACGGGGGAAAGAUUUAUCGGCAAAGGAUCGGCCCGCGUUGGAUUCGCUAGUUGGUGGGGUAAUGGCCUACCAAGGCGACGAUCCAUAGCUGGUCUGAGAGGAUGAUCAGCCACAUUGGGACUGAGACACGGCCCAAACUCCUACGGGAGGCAGCAGUGGGGAAUAUUGGACAAUGGGCGCAAGCCUGAUCCAGCCAUGCCGCGUGAGUGAUGAAGGCCUUAGGGUUGUAAAGCUCUUUCACCGGAGAAGAUAAUGACGGUAUCCGGAGAAGAAGCCCCGGCUAACUUCGUGCCAGCCGCCGCAGUAACAC
rnacentral:rRNA from 1 species